AGCGAACGCUGGCGGCAGGCCUAACACAUGCAAGUCGAACGAACCUUUCGGGGUUAGUGGCGGACGGGUGAGUAACACGUGGGAACGUGCCUUUAGGUUCGGAAUAACUCAGGGAAACUUGUGCUAAUACCGAAUGUGCCCUUCGGGGGAAAGAUUUAUCGCCUUUCGAGCGGCCCGCGUCUGAUUAGCUAGUUGGUUGAGGUAAUGGCUCACCAAGGCGACGAUCAGUAGCUGGUCUGAGAGGAUGAUCAGCCACAUUGGGACUGAGACACGGCCCAAACUCCUACGGGAGGCAGCAGUGGGGAAUCUUGCGCAAUGGGCGAAAGCCUGACGCAGCCAUGCCGCGUGAAUGAUGAAGGUCUUAGGAUUGUAAAAUUCUUUCAACGGGGACGAUAAUGACGGUACCCGGAGAAGAAGCCCCGGCUAACUUCGUG
rnacentral:rRNA from 1 species